rnacentral:rRNA from 1 species
UUUUUUAAUUGGGGUAGCCCCCAAAAUAUUGGGACAUAUAAAAAAAGAAAAAAAAGAAUAAGUGCACUUGAGUAUAACAAUGGCUGGGUGAGGCCGGUAUGAAUGUCUAUUCUCCACAAGGUACAGACAAGUCUGGUGGGAUCCAUGCGUGGUUCAUUUUAAUAAACGUGAGCUUGUCCACGUUGGCCAUGGACAGGCGGCCGUGCUUGUCUGUGAUAACCUCGUGCCGAUCGCACGAUCCUGUGACGGCGACAACGCAUUCGGAUGUCUGCCCUAUCAACUUUCGAUGCAAUUUUUCACGCCUACCAUGGUGACCACGGGUAACGGGGAAUCAGGGUUCGAUUCCAGAAAGGGAGCCUGAGAAAUGGCUACCACAUGUAAGGAAGGCAGCAGGCGCGCAAAUUACCCACUCCCAACGCGGGGAGGUAGUGACGACAAAUAACAAUACACUACUCUUUCGAGGCCCUGUAAUUGUAAUGAGUUCACUUUAAAUCCUUUAACUUGGAUCAAUUGGAGGGCAUGUCUGGUGCAGAGCAACUGACCCGUGCGUGCUGCAGCUGAAA